rnacentral:rRNA from 1 species
AUUGAACGCUGGCGGCAGGCCUAACACAUGCAAGUCGAACGGCGCGGCGGACGGGUGAGUAAUGCCUAGGAAUCUGCCUGGUAGUGGGGGAUAACGUCCGGCAACGGGCGCUAAUACCGCAUACUAUCAGAUGAGCCUAGGUCGGAUGAGCUAGUUGGUGGGGUAAAGGCCUACCAAGGCGACGAUCCGUAACUGGUCUGAGAGGAUGAUCAGUCACACUGGAAAGGAGACACGGUCCAGGCGACUACGGGAGGCAGCAGUGGGGAAUAUUGGACAAGGGACGAAAGCAUGAUCCAGCGAUGCCGCGUGUGUGAAGAAGGUCUUCGGAUUGUAAAGCACUUUAAGUUGGGAAGCGUUACCAACAGAAAAAGCACCGGCUAACUUCGUGCCAGCAGCCGCGGUAAUAC